UUCGGCACGAGUCUGUACUAUAUUG
rnacentral:misc_RNA from 1 species